CCUACCAUCCUUCUGUUAACCCUUUAGGCCUUAAAAAGCUUUUGGGGGCUCAGAUAUUUUACCUUGAGAAAAUUAGAGUGUUUCAGGCAGGCUAGCGCCGGAAUACAUUAGCAUGGAAUAAUAGAAUAGGACUUUUACCUCUUCUGUUGGUCUGAGGGGUUCAAGUAAUGAUUAAUAGGGAUAGUUGGGGGCAUUAGUACUUUACUGUCAGAGGUGAAAUUCUCGGAUUUGUAAAAGACUAACUUAUGCGAAAGCAUUUGCCAAGGAUGUUUUCAUUAAUCAAGAACGAAAGUUAGGGGUUAAUUACGAUCAGAUACCGUAGUAUCUUAACCAUAACUAUGCCGACUCGGGAUCGGGGGCGAGAGUAUCCGCUUUCGCACCGUAUGAAAAUCAAAUCUUUGUUUCUGGGGGAGUUGGUCCCAGGCUGAAACUUAAAGGAUUGACGUAAGGGCACCACCAGGCGUGGAGUUGC
rnacentral:rRNA from 1 species